rnacentral:rRNA from 1 species
CAAAUGUAUGUUGACGUAUUCUGAAAGGGAUACUUCUUCGGACAAUAUACAAGGUGCUGCAUGGUUGUCGUCAGCUCGUGCCGUGAGGUGUCGGGUUAAGUCCCAUAACGAGCGCAACCCCUAUCAUUAGUUGCCAUCAGGUCAAGCUGGGGACUCUAAUGAAACUGCCUACGCAAGUAGUGAGGAAGGUGGGGAUGACGUCAAAUCAGCACGGCCCUUACGUCCUGGGCUACACACGUGCUACAAUGGCCGGUACAGAGUGAAGCGAAACCGCGAGGUGAAGCAAACGCAGAAAGCCGGUCUCAGUACGGAUUGGAGUCUGAAACUCGACUUCAUGAAGUUGGAAUCGCUAGUAAUCGCGCAUCAGCAUGGCGCGGUGAAUACGUUCCCGGGCCUU